rnacentral:rRNA from 1 species
CCUGGUGGUCAUUGCGAGGGGCUAAACACCCGAUCCCAUCCCGAACUCGGCCGUGAAAAGCAACAGCGCCCAUGGUACUCCGGCUCAAGCCGCGGGAGAGCAGGCCGCCGCCAAGA